rnacentral:misc_RNA from 1 species
GAUUUGAAACAUGCUACCUGGAUCUAGAAACCUAAGGGAGUUAAAGAGAAUUUUGAAACUACGCUUUACCAUUGAUACAAACAUUUUAAGAGAAGUCCAAAGGUUAGCCCUUGAAAAAUUAGGUAUGAUAACUUCUGACCAUAUAAUAAAUAAUUGUCACCACACAUUUCUUUAAACUAGAAACAUAUUUAAAAUUCAUUUAAUGAAUAACGUAGAGGCCUAUAUUUUAAAUCCAAUGCAAGAAAUCUGAUCACCACCCCCUUUUCCAUUUUACAUCAGGCAAGUACCAGUAUAUACUCUUUGGUUUAACAAGAUAUUACCAUUUUCCAUGAACAUUUUAAAGUAAUGCAUUAAAACGACAAAAUUAAAGCUAUGAAGUAAGCAGGAUCAUUCAAAUUAAUACUAUAAGAUGGUUCAUCUUUCUUUUUUAAUUCAUUUUCCUCACUUUUUUUUCAAAACCAAAUCCCCAAUACCAUGAUACACCUAGUCCAGCACAGGUCACUAUAAUCUAUAAAAAUUCAGAAGUCCUUAGAUCCAUUUUCCUACAAUGUCCUAAGUUUAAUUGUACGCAGGUUCAGUUUUCUAUCUUGACUUCUAGACAUGUCAUAAACUGGAUUACAGUAACUUAAAUUCCAUGUAAUAAGCAAGGUCAAUGUUCCUUCAUCUUCUGCAAACUGAUGGGUAUGGAACAGCCUAUCUUAAAUAUGAUUUUGAAGAAUAAAUGUUUAUCUUAAAUAUGAUUUUGAAGAAUAAAUGUU